GUGUAGCUCUGCCAAUAAGAAAUUAGUAUGUGUCCUUAAAAGUGCCCUUUUACGUAAUAAAGAACUCAAAGAGCAAAUAACACACUAAGGAAUGCAUAAGAUAAAUAUGUAUUUUUAAAAAAAUGCCAUGAAAGGUGUUCCCUUUUCUCCAAAAAAUUUCCAGUUUCUGAGAUAUCUCAUCCAUCUCCCAUUUACCCCUACAGCUGAAUUACUAAUUAUGUCCUUAUGAAAGAAUCAAUAUAUUUCCAUGCUUAGGAAUUCGUAAUGCAAAGGAAAAGAGCAUGUUUGUGAAUCCUGCUUACUUGAAAAAAAAAUUAAAUGAAAGGCACGAAAACAGGCAAAUAUAAACCACCAGUUGGCUUCCAUUCAGCUGUGUGACCAGAUUUAAUUCAAUAUCCUUUGAUCAAUAUAUCUGGAAUGCUUGCAUUGAGCAUAUAUGCUGAACAGCCACAACAUUAAAAUCACCUUCUUGCUGUGUGGACUCCACAAGACCUCUGAAAAUGUCCUGUGGUAUCUGACACCAAGACAUUAGCAGCAGAUCGUUUAAGUCCUGCAAGUUGCAAGGUGGGGCCUAAAUGCUCAAUCGUAUUGAAAAUUGGAGAAUUUGGAGGCCAAGGCAACAUCUUGAACUCUUU